rnacentral:rRNA from 1 species
UACGUAGGUGGCAAGCGUUGUCCGGAUUUAUUGGGUUUAAAGGGUGCGUAGGCGGCCCUGUAAGUCAGUGCUGAAAUAUCCCGGCUUAACCGGGAGGGUGGCAUUGAUACUGCAGGGCUUGAGUACAGAUGAAGUAGGCGGAAUUGACGGUGUAGCGGUGAAAUGCAUAGAUAUCGUCAAGAACACCGAUAGCGAAGGCAGCUUACUAAGCUGUAACUGACGCUGAGGCACGAAAGUGUGGGGAUCAAACAGGAUUAGAUACCCUGGUAGUCCACACCGUAAACGUUGAUGACUCGAUGUUGGCGAUAUACAGCCAGCGUCUUAGAGCAAUCGUUAAGUCAUCCACCUGGGGAGUACGCCGGCAACGGUGAA